GAUGAACGCUGGCGGCGUGCCUAAUACAUGCCAGUCGAGCGAACGGACGAGAAGCUUGCUUCUCUGAUGUUAGCGGCGGACGGGUGAGUAACACGUGGAUAACCUACCUAUAAGACUGGGAUAACUUCGGGAAACCGGAGCUAAUACCGGAUAAUAUUUUGAACCGCAUGGUUCAAAAGUGAAAGUCGGUCUUGCUGUCACUUAUAGAUGGAUCCGCGCUGCAUUAGCUAGUUGGUAAGGUAACGGCUUACCAAGGCAACGAUGCAUAGCCGACCUGAGAGGGUGAUCGGCCACACUGGAACUGAGACACGGUCCAGACUCCUACGGGAGGCAGCAGUAGGGAAUCUUCCGCAAUGGGCGAAAGCCUGACGGAGCAACGCCGCGUGAGUGAUGAAGGUCUUCGGAUCGUAAAACUCUGUUAUUAGGGAAGAACAUAUGUGUAAGUAACUGUGCACAUCUUGACGGUACCUAAUCAGAAAGCCACGGCUAACUACGUG
rnacentral:rRNA from 1 species